GCAGGUAUCAAAAAAACAGGGAGAAGCUCACUGCAACAUAUUAGAUGUUUGUCAGGGAUAGAACGAUAAAGUCCUGGACUCCUACACACUGUUUUUUGCCAUUUGGAACAUUACACCAGAGGAAAAUUCAAACUCAGCUUGAGGACCAGCUUUAACUGUUCAAUUUCACUCCGGUGACCACACAGGUGCAGUUUCACUCACUGAGGCCCCGAGUUUGUUGGAACAUUAAGGAUGACAGGUUUCACAGCUAUGAGUCGGCUACAUUAUUCUAUGAAGAGAUUUGGAAUCCUCUGCGCUCUUAUGCUGUGUGUGACCAGCUUGACCAUCUUAU